UUACUUCCCAACAAACCUUUGGCAUGUAAAUACCCAUCUCAGGCUCGGUUUCUCAGGAAAAUGUGCCGGUGUCACCGACUCCUCCUGUAAAUAAAGUAAACUCCAACACUUCAGUGUGAGACGUCUGUUGUGAUGAAGGAACUGAAGUUCAGAAAGGAUCUGCUGCAAAUCACUCAGCUGAUGAGAGGCAGAGACCACAUGUGAACCAAGUCAGACUCCAAAUCUUGUACCUGAAAAGUAACACGCUCCCCUGCUCUACAGACGGCCUUCAUUUCCUUCUACCAGCCCCGGCAUUCCCACCUGCGUGGCACCUUCCUCCACACUUCAGUCAGAUAUCAGUUCCUUGCUAUUCUUUAGAAGAAACUGGAGUUAUUGGCCUAAAGUAUUCAGAUUGACUCCAAUGACAGUUUCCAGUUGACUACAUCGUAACUGACCUUGCUGAGUGGCACAAGUGAUUCAGAAGUUCAUUCUUUCCAUGCUCCACUAGGAAGUGAGUGGUUAAAAAGAGCAUAGACUGAGGAAAACAAGGGAUAAGUGAAUAUGGAGUACAACCAUUAAAAUUACAUGAAAAGGCAAAUUGGGAGAGCCAAAUAUUAUUACUGUGAAGAAUUACUUCACACUGCCUCUGACCACAGUUAGAAAAACUGCCACGAUACAAAUGCCUUGGCCGAGAUGUCAAGGUAAAACAACUCUUUUUAAAUGUUUCCUAAUAAAAUUUUUAAGAUGGAAAAUAAAUGUUAGAACAAAGACAACAGAACUUCAAAACAGAAAAAAUCUCUAACUGCAUACAAUGAACAUAACGCCAAAUACUAUCCUUCUCCAAACUUCUCUUUCACUUGUCUUACUUAUAUACCACAUUCAAAAUAUAAUAGAAGUUCAGCCGCAAAGUCAACUUAGAAAGGAGAAUUAUAUGGCCUAGCUGCACAGAUUGAUUUAAUAGCAAAGUCCUUCCCUAUAAAGACAUAUAUAUGCUAUCUGGAAGAACUUUCAAGUUCUUCAUUUUAUUUUUUACUAACGAUUGAAUGAUUAUAGGAAAAAAACUCACUCUUUCCUCUUAUUCUCAGCAAGAAGUGUCAGCCGCGUGAUUUGGGGGAAAAAAAGUAAACUUAUCUGGGGUGAUCAAACAGGAAAUCAGCAUCCGUAGUUUUGGGUAGAUCCCUCAGGUUGCAGUAUUCACUGUCUAUACUUACCUUCCUCUGUUCUUCCUCUUUUUGAGCUGUUUUGCUACCCACCCAUCCCCACCCCCCACCCAAGAUCUCUGGCCCAUAAUUUUGCUCUAACAACUACCAUAUUGGGAACCUGACGUUUCUGCACAUUAUAAGCUUUAUUGACAUACAAUAUUGUGUAAGUUUAAGGUGCAUGAUGUGACGAUGUGAUACUUACAUAGUCUGAAAUGAUGAAUUUAAAAGCUUCUUAUAUACUACUUUGGCUCAGGCAUUUACAGUCUAAUUCUCAAACCAGAACAGCAGUUACUAUAGGAAAAGGAUUCUUUCUUUCUUGUCCAUUUUGGUAUUUUCAGAGCCUGGCACAAUAUCAGUACUUAAAAAACAAUCGUUGAGCUCCAAAUGAUUUGGAUGGAGAAGCCAAUUUUAAGUCUUUGAAAAUCCAUGACAACAUGUACGCAUUCAGACUGUUUCAAGAUAGAAGCUUAACUGAUGGUUUUUCUUCCCUUUCUCUGGUACAAGAGGAUGCCUGCAUAUCCUUUCACCACAAAGAAAAAUUUAAGAUCAGGACAGUUACCUAGGAAGAAAGCUUGUAUUGAAGUGUCUAAUAAUUGGGGUUCCAGGUUUAAUGGGCAAUUAGCUCAAAUGCUAAAGAACUAGACAAUUGAAUGUGAGGCGACAGUAAAAAUAACUACCUUUUGGAGAAACAAGAACUACCCCACAUUAAAAGGAAGAGAUAGGAUGUGAACGGUAACAGAAGGAUGAGGUAAGUACAAGGGGCCCUCAGAAGUCUGGAAACAGUCCCAGGGAAGUUGUCCAAGAAAGAUAAAGGGCCACAGUCUCAUAAAAGUUGAGCAGGUGCAAUUAAUGGACUUCAAGAAAACUACUUCCUUUGCAUUUUAUCUCUGUAAAACAAGUAUUAUAUUUCCCUUUAAUAAACACUCCUUAAAAGUUUUCCUGAAAAUA